CUAGGUCCUCAGCCAGUGCGGAGAAAGGGCCCUGGGCUGGGCUCCCACGCUCGGGCCGGCCUCCCGCCGCGGGGUCGGAGCUGCGGUCACUCGCCGAUUCCAGGCCGUGGCGUCCCGCGCUCAGCUUCUGCGCCUCUGGAAGGCGAUCUCUUCCAGCUCUGAAGAAAUGGAGAUGAACAGAGGAACAGCCACUGCCAGCAAGCAAGGGAAGAAAAAUCUUGAAAGCCUGUGAUUUCCUGGAGACUUCUUGGUUGAUGCCCCUGAAAUCAGCCUGCCAAGUGUGGCCUCUGCAGCGUAAAUACAAGGAGUCCGACGGCAUCUGACAAUAGUUCUGUCACCCUUGGCCAUAUUGUAAUUCCAUGUCCUCAAAGUCACCCUGUCACAAUCCCACCAUUUCCUACAAACACAGCUUCUCCUGCCUGAUAAAGUCUUAUCUAUCCUUUAA